UAAACAUACAAAUGAACAGGGACAGUUCCUGGUUCAGCUUCAUCUAACGCUAUCUUAAUUCCUCCAUUUAUUUGUUCAAGCAACAUUUACUGACAUCUGUUUUGUCACAGACACUUGGGAAACCGAGAUGAGUAAGAGUCCCUGUUCUUAAAGAUCUUACAGUCUAACAGAAUCUAACUAGUGAGGAGAGAAGCUAAACAAGAUGACAACACAGGUUGGAAUAAGAAGAAUUAACAGAAUGCUACUGGAGCGUAGAAGAGGAGCUCUUAUUUUAGUCAAGGAAGGCUCUUCAGAAGUGGCAGAAUUUGGCUGAUGGGCGUAAAUUACAGAGAGGCAACUUUCAGCUUGAAAAACAACUCCUCCAUUACCAACAUAAUGAAGAGUUGAUAGGCUGUAUGUUAUACAACCAAAGACCUUCAAACAAAGGAAGAAUAACUUCUGACAAGGGUUCCACAUAUAAGUGAUGUCAUAUGGUAUUUUUCUUUCUCUUUCUGGCUUACUUCACUUAGAAUGAUGAUCUCCAGGUCCAUCCAUGUUGCUGCAACUUCUGUGAAAGUUUUAGAAUCUAUACUUUCCAACUGGAAAAACAAU